rnacentral:ncRNA from 1 species
ACCCUGCUGCCGGACUGACCGGCAACCGAUAGCGAGAAUCGGGCAGGGU